AUACUUACCUGGACGGGGUUUAUGGGCGAUCAUGAAGGUCCAUGGCCUAGGUUGGUGACCUCCAUUGCACUCAGGAGGGGCGCCCACCUAAGAUAUCUCCAAGUGGGAUAGUCUACGUCAUAAUUUGUUGCUGAGGGGGUACGCGUUCGCGCGGCCCCUGC
rnacentral:snRNA from 1 species